rnacentral:tRNA from 1 species
ACUUUUAAAGGAUAAAAGCCUAAUCCAUUGGCCUUAGGAGCCAAAAACCUUGGUGCAAUUCCAAGUGAAAGUA